rnacentral:tRNA from 1 species
AUAAUUUUAAGUUAACUUUAAACUAAAGGUCUUCAAAACCUUCAAUGAAAUCAUUCAAAUUAUG